rnacentral:lncRNA from 1 species
CAUUCUAAUUGAUAAAUUAUUUUUACAUAAUUCACGAAAUCCUAGUUCGAUAAAUCCUUUAAACAAUUCGUCCAUCUCCCUAUGGAAUCGACUCCCCAAAGCUGUCAAUACAACUAUUAAUGUGAUUAUUCCAACUAUAUUGAGUAUCAUACAUGUAACGAUUGUAGUAGGGAUCUUCACUAGUGGAUCCAUUAUUCAGAUAACUAGAAUUCCGAAUACUAUAAAAAGAACUUUCUAGUUCACUCAGAAAAGAAUGAUCAUUGUCAAUUUCAAAAAUAUGAUUUUCAAUAUAAAAAUAGAUAGAAUAACUGUUCGCGUUAUUCUUUGGGCGUAAUCACUCCUGUUAGCUCCAAAUUGGCUUUCUCUAGAGCUUCAGCCAUUACUUUCUGGUGAUUAUUUGAAAUAUCC